GAUUAGCCCGCGUUCGAUUAGCUAGUUGGUGGGGUAACGGCCCACCAAGGCGACGAUCGAUAGCUGUUCUGAGAGGAAGAUCAGCCACACUGGGACUGAAACACGGCCCAGACUCCUACGGGAGGCAGCAGUUGGGAAUCUUGGACAAUGGGGGAAACCCUGAUCCAGCCAUGCCGCGUGAGUGAUGAAGGCCUUCGGGUUGUAAAACUCUUUCGCGCACGACGAUAAUGACGGUAGUGCGAGAAGAAGCUCCGGCUAACUUCGUGCCAGCAGCCGCGGUAAUACGAAGGGGGCUAGCGUUGUUCGGAAUUACUGGGCGUAAAGCGCGCGCAGGCGGUCUUCCAAGUCAGUGGUGAAAGCCCGGAGCUCAACUCCGGAACUGCCAUUGAAACUGUUAGACUUGAGUAUGAGAGAGGUGAGUGGAAUUCCCAGUGUAGAGGUGAAAUUCGUAGAUAUUGGGAAGAACACCGGUGGCGAAGGCGGCUCACUGGCUCAUUACUGACGCUCAGGCGCGACAGCGUGGGGAUCAAACAGGAUUAGAUACCCUGGUAGUCCACGCCGUAAACGAUGAAUGCUAGCCGU
rnacentral:rRNA from 1 species